rnacentral:sRNA from 1 species
AACAAAGUGGCUGUAGUUUAGUGGUAAGAAUUC